UACGAAGGGGGCUAGCGUUGUUCGGAUUUACUGGGCGUAAAGCGCACGUAGGCGGAUCUUUAAGUCAGGGGUGAAAUCCUGGAGCUCAACUCCAGAACUGCCUUUGAUACUGAGGAUCUUGAGUUCGGGAGAGGUGAGUGGAACUGCGAGUGUAGAGGUGAAAUUCGUAGAUAUUCGCAAGAACACCAGUGGCGAAGGCGGCUCACUGGCCCGGUACUGACGCUGAGGUGCGAAAGCGUGGGGAGCAAACGGG
rnacentral:rRNA from 1 species